rnacentral:rRNA from 1 species
AGCGGCGAACGGGUGAGUAACACGUGAGCAACCUGCCCCUGACUCUGGGAUAAGCGGUGGAAACGCCGUCUAAUACCGGAUACGACCCGCCACCUCAUGGUGGAGGGUGGAAAGUUUUUCGGUCAGGGAUGGGCUCGCGGCCUAUCAGCUUGUUGGUGGGGUAACGGCCUACCAAGGCGAUUACGGGUAGCCGGCCUGAGAGGGCGACCGGCCACACUGGGACUGAGACACGGCCCAGACUCCUGCGGGAGGCAGCAGUGGGGAAUAUUGCGCAAUGGGCGAAAGCCUGACGCAGCGACGCCGCGUGGGGGAUGACGGCCUUCGGGUUGUAAACCUCUUUUACCACCAACGCAGGCUUCCAGUUCUCUGGAGGUUGACGGUAGGUGGGGAAUAAGGACCGGCUAACUACGUGCCAGCAGCCGCGGUAAUACGUAGGGUCCGAGCGUUGUCCGGAAUUAUUGGGCGUAAAGAGCUCGUAGGCGGCGUGUCGCGUCUGCUGUGAAAGACCGGGGCUUAACUCCGGUU